GGUGUCUUUAUUUAGACAGGGAGUCAAUGCUGAGACCAAGGUGUCUUUAUUUAGACCGGGAGUCAAUGCUGAGACCAAGGUCUCUUUAUUUAGACAGGGAGUCAAUGCUGAGACCAAGGUGCCUUUAUUUAGACAGGGAGUCAAUGCUGAGACCAAGGUGUCUUUAUUCAGACAGGGAGUCAAUGCUGACAUGUAGAAGUGGUUGUAGAGCGUGCAGACAGGGUUUUAGACCAUGUAAAUGUGGUUGUAGCACGAGUAGAUGUGGUGGUAGUAUGUGUAAAUGUGGUUGUAGAGCGUGCAGACAGGGUUUUAGACCAUGUAAAUGUGGUUGUAGCACGAGUAGAUGUGGUGGUAGUAUGUGUAAAUGUGGUUGUAGGACGUGCAGGAUGAGUAGAUGUGGUUUUAGGAUGUGUAGAUGGGGUUGUAGGAUGUGUAGAUGGGGUUGGAGGACGUGUAGAUGUGUAGAUGGGGUUGGAUGACGUGUAGAUGGGGUUGGAGGACGUGUAGAUGGGUUUGGAGGACGUGUAGAUGGGGUUGGAUGACGUGUAGAUGGGGUUGGAUGACGUGUAGAUGGGGUUGUAGGACGUGUAGAUGGGGUUGUAGGACGUGUAGAUGGGGUUGUAGGACGUGUAGAUGGGGUUGUAGGACGUGUAGAUGGGGUUGU
ensembl:lncRNA